UGGGGGAAUUUUGGACAAUGGGCGAAAGCCUGAUCCAGCAAUGCCGCGUGUGUGAAGAAGGCCUUCGGGUUGUAAAGCACUUUUGUCCGGAAAGAAAUCCUUGGCUCUAAUACAGUCCGGGGGAUGACGGUACCGGGAAGAAUAAGCACCGGCUAACUACGUGCCCAGCAGCCGCGGUAAUACGUAGGGUGCAAGCGUUAAUCGGGAAUUACUGGGCGUAAAGCGUGCGCAGGCGGUUUGCUAAGACCGAUGUGAAAUCCCCGGGCUCAACCUGGGAACUGCAUUGGUGACUGGCAGGCUAGAGUAUGGCAGAGGGGGGUAGAAUUCCACGUGUAGCAGUGAAAUGCGUAGAGAUGUGGAGGAAUACCGAUGGCGAAGGCAGCCCCCU
rnacentral:rRNA from 1 species